ensembl:lncRNA
CUUGAUUAAAAAGCAACACAAUUCUGCAUUACUGGGUCCUCGUAACAGACAGAAAAGGAGGGGUUUGUGGGAUGAGGCGCAGGCAUGAAAGACACUGGUGGGAGACAAAAACGACAACUGGAUUACAGCUGCCUGCUGGGCAAAUUGCUGGCUGAAAGGACGUCGCUGCAUAUACAGAUGCCUCAGCAUCUACAGUCGCUGUAUGGAUUUCUCUUUCCAGAAGGCUGCUUACCCCAGCUUCCAUUCUGCACAGCUACAAAGGGAGCAGAAUGGCAAAAGGAGCACAGUCCCAUGCUCCCAAACACACCUCCUAAACACCCAUGGGCAGCAGCGCCAGGGAGCAUCAAGUUGUUCCCAGGAAGCAGUCAUGGCUCUGGGUUGUUAGUGACUGCUGCACGUUGGCUUGGUGGUCAUUUGGCAUUGGCGGCCCAUGGCACUGAGUGCCACAGCACUGCAUAGCUGAGUGUUGGAAGUCCCCACUGGCAAAAUCACACUCUCUGCUCCAUCUAUGGAGAUGGAUGAGCCCAAGUGGAUCAGCACGUCCUCAGGCACAAAAUCUUUGCAUGAGCAAUGCUAAGGAUGGAGGCUGAAAGAAGAUAGAAACACCCAUCUCUGUUUGAAAGGCAGAACUUCUAGUGAAGCCAAGCAAAAUCUCAUAACCCCAGGGAAACCCUAGAGCCUCCUUGCAGCUCAGCUGACAUCCAGAUAUUUAUGGGCCGUGUAAGAAGAUUCAGGCCACUUUAUCUGCAUCCGCUUUCCUAUUUCACCGUUUCUUUGUGGCUGCUCAGCUUUGAUGGCAAUAUGCUGUUAAACUGCCACUCACUCAGCCUUUUUUUGUGUGCCUCCUUGCCUGGCUUCCAGUCAGUGGUCUUUUCCAUAUCCUAUUCCUAUUCCUCCUGCGGAACUGGGACCAUCUCAUGCUGUCCAAAUCCGAGCACUGGGCUGCUAAUAGACACCGCUGAUGUACAAUGGAAGAGCUUCUCCAUAACUCCCUAUCACUAAUCAGUGAGCAUGUUUGACAUCCCGGCAGUGCGGUGCUUCACAACAGCUAUCGAUAGUGCUUCCCCGUGCUGAAGGAAAAUGGGAACCUGCAACACUGGCAUUACAUCACAGGCAGUGGCUGGUUAUUGAUGUCAUCAUUCCUGUCACUUGCCUGAUAUAUACUGCCUGCAGUGACUUACCUCCGAUCUAUAGAGGCUGGCUCCUGGAGGUCUGCCUUCCAGUUAGCAGCGCCGGCGAGCAGCAGCACCUGUGUCUCCACGCCAGACAGCUGGCACGCUCCAUGCAUGCCACCGCGCACCAUCUGUGCCACACAUCACAUGCCAGUUACGUGACUGGGGAGAGUCAGGAGGAAGAAAAAUAUUUGCUUCCAUGAAUCCUCCUACUGAGUAAAGUUCUGUAGCAGAAGUUUUCCAGUUCCUGAGGAUGCUGCUGACUGCCUUUCCUUGCUUGCUUAAGUCUCCACAGUGCUGAAAAUGAAGUCCAAGAUGUGUGUUCUGCACGUUUGCCAUUGCAACUCGAGGAGACAGAGCUCAGAUGAAGUUCCAGCUAGGCAAGAGACCAAAGUUCACCCUACCCACAGCACUGCAGAUUGCUGCACAGCCCCAUCUUUGUGCACUGGAGAAGCAAAGCACGCGAGGAGGGAGCGCGCUCCCAGCUGCCAGGGGCUGACAACCGAAAGGUGCAAGAUGGGACAAAGCAGAGCACAGAGAGUGAUGUGGGAACGUUAACACUUGUAAGCUAACAGAUGUGCAGGAAUGUCCUCGGCUCGCCAUCGCUUUUCUCUCCAGCAGAAUAUGACUGACAACAGAACACCAGGGAACAGCUGGGUCGAAACGCAUAAUAUUUUCCUGCUAGAGAAGGACGCUGAUUAGGCUGCGGAGUACCUAAUUGGGUCUUGGCCUUGAGUGAUGGAAAACUAAAGCCAGGAGGAGCACACCAAUGAGCAGCACCAUGUUACCAGCAGAGGUCCGGUGGCUGGAGGAGCGGAACAUUAGCACAUCCCUAAGGCCAGGAAGUUCAUAUGAAGUUUCUGAACCUCCACUUCGGCCCUUAGGGAGAAACAGCCCGGAAAUAAGAUGCGGACAAUGGCAGUUCCAACCCAACCCAUGACCUCUGCCUUGAAACAUGGUGGGUCAGCCAGGAGGUGAGGAGGUGGGGUAAAGCAGAUGAGCUGGAUGAGGAAUACGGUGACAAACUAACUGGUGGGAAGAAGUUGCAGAACAGUGGAGAUCCCACCGCCAUUCAGCCAUGAUGGAGGACGUGUUUUCAGACACAGCCCACUCCUCCUGCCAAUUUGCUGGGGUUGCAGAAGAAAGAGGAGGAAGAGGAGAAGGAGGAGUGGCCAGUGGUGGUGGUUGCUCUGGCUGCAGCAGCUGUGGAGGCCCUGCUAAUACAGUAACUUCCUUAUCUCAGGAAACCCAAGUGGCUCCAACAAGAGAAGCAGAGUAGGACAAUCCAGGAGAAGACAGCUGACUGCAGUGUUUACUAGUCUGCAGAAUAGACAACUUACAUUGUUAAAAUUGAUCAGAACAUGUUCUACUGGAACUAAGCAGAUAAGAAUUACUUCAUUCUUUUUUGCCCCUGAGCACCCUAGGAGACCUGUGUUAGAUCUGGGCUUUGUCUGCUUGAAAAAGUGGAAGGGUUGACCUGCUGAAGGGAGAACCACUAAAGCGCUCCAACAUUACUAUGGUCUUAUAAUGCCUGAGACAGAUCACAAGAUUAACUCUUAUAAUCAACAACAAGAUCAUCAAUUUGUACACUAUAUAAAUUAAAGUGCAUGCAUAUAAAUCUGCAACCUUGAAUAAUACUGUCACAGCUUCUGCUUUGUUUGUUUUGUGCAGCUUCUUGCUUUGACCAUUUCUUGCUUUGACCAUGAAUAUGCCUGCUGGGUCUGGUGCAUGAAAUCCCUUCCAAGUCCUCCCUUUUGCUUCACGAUGAUGCAGAAGGUGACUCUUCAGAAGCUCCAGCGGAUGGUGGGACACUGCUGGCUUGUUGACUGUGUGGAAAGCGCAUCACUGGGGAGCACCACGACGAGGAGGUCCUUCCCUCCUCUGCUGCCUCCCCCCUCAGACCCAAAUAAACAAAUAAGCGCUGCCAAGAGCUUUUCAGCUGGUGUCCUUUGCUGCCUUCCCUCCUCAGCCAUCCCCUGCGCUGAAAGCAAUGCUUUCCAGCACGUCUCUUCUCAUUCUUCUGCCUUUGCUCGCUGGUUGUUAUAUCACACUAUUUUUAAUUAUAUCUUGAUUUUCGUAACAUUAUUGUACGUUGUUAUGUUUCUAGAAUGCAAACGUGAGCGUAAUGGGAUCUAUUUUUCAGAGUUGCCAAAACAAAUUAAGGAAAACGCUCGGCUCUUCCUUUGCCAAAUGUUUUAGUGCUUUUCCGUGAAAGCAAAUCUUAUUUCUAACUGUAUAUUAAGCCUUAAGUAAAUAAUGCAGUCUGUCAGAAGCAAAUUCUAUUGUAAAAGCAGUAACUGUUCCCAGGCUUUGCCUGUGAUGCCCGCACGCUGCUCUGCCCGGGAAGGACUGGGCUAGCAAUGAAUUACUGCUCAUUUCAAUCUGCCUUUCACAGAAACGUCUAACUUUUUUGUUUACACUGGACCCAGAUCCCAUAAAUAUGGAGUAUCUGUUGCGGCCGCUCCACGUCUGCCCAGCUGACAUGGUUUGAGGUCCACUGUGAACCAAUCUGGACUUUUUUUUUACCGUCAUAUCCAUCAAAACGACCAGUAGCCAUCAACCUACUGCAGCGAUCGAUUCGUUUGCUUAUUCUCACGCAUAAGCCAAUACUCAGCUCACUAGGUGAGGCUUGGGAGAAGCACCUCAUUUUAGCUUUUUUUCCCCCCUCUUUCUUUCUUUCUUUCCCUUUUUUUUUUUUUUUUUCCUUUUGCCUCCAGCUACAGCUGUGAUUUUCUGAGCAGUCUUGGCUAACGUUAUUAAAGUUGCAUCAUGAUAGAUAUAGAGCAGAGCAGAUAACAGUCUCCACGCACAACAACAGAAAAAUAAUAACAACCGUGGGUUUCGCUGUUGUUGUCAGUGUUGCUUUUCAGGUGUACUGAGACGCUUGCUAAGCUCGGAGUUUCCAACUCAUUGCUUAUUUUGCAAAGUAAACAAGCAAAUGUUAUGUGCAUAACCUUAGCUGUCUCUGCAAAGGUCAGUGUGUGGCUGCUAAUUUCUUCUCCUGCCUUUUGGUGGCACUCUGAUGCCAGCGAUUACUUCUGGCGUGUUUGGGAAACAAGACGUCCUUUCUUAACAAAAGACUCAAUCUACAAAGGCCGCAAAACAAAAAUUGAUUAAAGUUGAACCGUAGUAUGAAAGUUUACUUCGGUGUAUCAAAUAGCCCGGUAAGCACUACAUAGCAGCUCAUCUGUAACGGGAGCCAUGGGGUGUCACUGGGCGCAACUGGGACUGCAUGGACAGCUGAACUCCAUGAUUUUGACUAGAGGUGACAGCUGAAAAGCACCAGAAACCCUUGGAAUUUCAGAUCUAUAUAUUACUAUAAAGGAAGAAAAUAAAGUUCCGCUAGUAGAAGACCUUGGAAGGGUGUGUGUCCUGAACAAUUUCCAUUGUGGAGAAACGCAACAAAUAACAAAGUGCAGUCAAAGCUAGCCCUGCUCCGUGAUGAAUUUCAAGGAGCGUGACCAAUAAUCUUCUACUUAUCUUAAAAACCCUAUGGAAGUACUAGACCAGUUCCAACAGAAGUGAGAGCAAACUGUGGGAAAAAAAAAAACCCUCACAAAAAAGCCAUCUGUCUGAGAACAACCCGAGAAUCCUAAGUCCACCCAAGUAGUCACUGCGUGUUUUUCUGCACUGCUAAUGGAUUGCAUAUUGUUGAAAAUAUGAAUUACAGAAUAAAUCAGGAGAGAGUGACAAUUACGGGUCCGAUUCUGUUCUUGGCUGCGGUGGCAUUAUUGACCUAAUGCUGUUUUCUGCUAUUGUGGGGCACAUUGGAUAAUUAUCCAAUUUAAGAACAACUCCAGACCGAAGGAGUAAAUGGGAGCUGUCUGAAGGCAGGGACUGCCAGAGGAGCCAGGCUGACAGUCGGUGAGGUUCAGACCACUGUAGGCUGUGGAUUUUCCCAAAGCUUUAUACGCUGCUAUUAACUCUGCCACAUAUACUCCAUGGUAUGAAAUACAUGUCUUAAAUAU